rnacentral:lncRNA from 1 species
CGCUUCCUCCUGAGGGGACAGAUUUCAGGGGCAGAGUGCUUCUCUUCUUGAAGGAGAGAAGUCUAUUAGCGUCAUUGCCAUUAUAUUAGCAGCAGCGACGCAGGCUUUUAACCUUUCACCCAAAGAAACGGGAGAUAUCUACAGUACUAACCAAAGUUAAACAAACAAGGAAUCAUUUCUAACAGCUUAAACCACUUACUCGACGCAGACAAGCUACUUCUGCCUAUUCCCUGGAUGCCAAAAAUUAGCACCGGCCAGCGGUGAAAUAUGAGCUCCGGACGAGCUUGUAUGAGCGGCGACAGCAAAGUUCAAGGCUCGCCGCUGCCUUUCCGCGCGCCUCCAGCCCCGGAGCGCGGCGUGGGUAAACUGAGGCAGGCUCAGCGCCUCCUGCGAGCUUCCUUCCCGGAGACAAACAGCGUCCGACAGCCAGAUGAGCCCCUUCCACCGCCUGGGAGCAGAGGCUGAGGUGAAAAGCAGAAGGCGCUUACACAGCUCUGCUGUCGGGGGGUCACAGGAUAGGAAAACACAAGCUAUUGCCAGCGUUCAUCGGAGAGAAGUUGCCUUUCUCAGCCAGCGGGGGCAGAGGAAUUUGGCCUGGCACCGAGCCUCUCGCUUUCUGCCAUCCCUAACCUACCCUUAGCCUUGCUUUUGCCCAGCUCUUGCCGCGGCCUUGCUCCUUCUCCCGUUUGCUGCUGGCGAUAACUGGGGACGAGCAUCCCGGGGGCGCACGCCUUUGCCUGGCUCGGCCGGUUACGCCGGGCGGCAACGUCCAGGGGACUGUCCUACUUCUUGCCUUCUUUCCCCUUGCCUGCUUUUCUGCCAUCCCUAACCUACCCUUAGCCUUGCUUUUGCCCAGCUCUUGCCGCGGCCUUGCUCCUUCUCCCGUUUGCUGCUGGCGAUAACUGGGGACGAGCAUCCCGGGGGCGCACGCCUUUGCCUGGCUCGGCCGGUUACGCCGGGCGGCAACGUCCAGGGGACUGUCCUACUUCUUGCCUUCUUUCCCCUUGCCUGCUUUUCCCCGUCCUCCUAUAAAACCCGUGCAAACCGUUGGUAAAACCAGCCGCUGGUUCGUCAAAUUCCACGUUGCAAUAAAAAUCACUCGGCGGCGAUAGGGUGAAAGGG